UCUCCCCCCUCUCUUUAUUUAGGGCCCCCACCCACCGCUCAGGGGUGGGGGCCAGGGGGGGAGGACAGUAGGUCCCCCCCCUUAUUGUUUUUUUAGGGCCCCCAUCCACCACUCAGGGGUGGAGGCUGGGGGGGACAAU